rnacentral:rRNA from 1 species
GACGAACGCUGGCGGCGUGCUUAACACAUGCAAGUCGAACGAGAAUCUGUGGAUCGAGGAUUCGUCCAAGUGAAGCAGAGGACAGUGGCGGACGGGUGAGUAACGCGUGAGGAACCUGCCUUUCAGAGGGGGGACAACAGUUGGAAACGACUGCUAAUACCGCAUGAUACAUUUGGGUGGCAUCAUCUGAAUGUCAAAGAUUUAUCGCUGAAAGAUGGCCUCGCGUCUGAUUAGCUGGUUGGUGAGGUAACGGCCCACCAAGGCGACGAUCAGUAGCCGGACUGAGAGGUUGACCGGCCACAUUGGGACUGAGAUACGGCCAGACUCCUACGGGAGGCAGCAGUGGGGAAUAUUGCACAAUGGAGGAAACUCUGAUGCAGCGACGCCGCGUGAGCGAAGAAGUAUUCGGUAUGUAAAGCUCUGUCAGCAGGGAAGAUAAUGACGGUACUGACCAAGAAGCCCGGCUAAC